AGUCGAAAGGGAAACAGCCCAGACCACCAGUUAAGGUCCCCAAAUAUAUGUUAAGUGGAAAAGGAUGUGGGGUUGCUUAGACAACCAGGAUGUUGGCUUAGAAGCAGCCACCAUUGAAAGAGUGCGUAAUAGCUCACUGGUCGAGUGACCCCGCGCCGAAAAUGUACCGGGGCUAAACAUAUUACCGAAACUGUGGAUGAACCUCUUUAGAGGUUCGUGGUAGGAGAGCGUUCUAAGGGCGGUGAAGUCAGACCGGAAGGACUGGUGGAGCGCUUAGAAGUGAGAAUGCCGGUAUGAGUAGCGAAAGAAGGGUGAGAAUCCCUUCCACCGAAUAUCUAAGGUUU
rnacentral:rRNA from 1 species